GGAGGAAAGUAGGGGAUCGUAAGACCUUGUGCUUUUGGAGCGGCCGAUGCCUGAUUAGCUAGUUGGUGGGGUAAAGGCUUACCAAGGCAACGAUCAGUAGUUGGUCUAAGAGGACGACCAGCCACACUGGGACUGAGACACGGCCCAGACUCCUACGGGAGGCAGCAGUGGGGAAUUUUGGACAAUGGGCGAAAGCCUGAUCCAGCAAUGCCGCGUGAGUGAAGAAGGCCUUCGGGUUGUAAAGCUCUUUCAGUCGAGAAGAAAAGGUUGUGACUAAUAAUCACAACUCAUGACGGUACCGACAGAAGAAGCACCGGCUAACUACGUGCCAGCAGCCGCGGUAAUUAGGGUGCAAGCGUUAAUCGGAAUUACUGGGCGUAAAGGGUGCGCAGGCGGCUUUGUAAGUCAGAUGUGAAAUCCCCGGGCUUAACCUGGGAAUUGCGUUUGAAACUACAAAGCUAG
rnacentral:rRNA from 1 species